AGAGGACAUAACCAGUGGGAGAAGCUAAGCUGUGAGACGUGACUGGGAGAAGAGAGGAGUGGAAUGGGCAGAAAAAGCUCUCUGGAGAGAAUUAUGGGCAAGGGUUGCCUGUUAAUCAGGUGUGUGUGAUUCCUCCAGGGAGCAAGAGUGCCUCACUCCUGCCAUUGCUAAUAGAUGAUCCUGUGAUGCAGUGAAAAAGGUUGAAGAUAUAGGAAGCAAGUACAUAUACAGCAGGAUCACAUGGAGUGUUUUUACUAGAUCACAUAGAUACUUCCCCAGCAGGGCUUACAAUUUCUGGUUCGAUGGAGAGUACGGACAUUCAAGAAGGCAAGACCAAAGGACUCUCAGCAGGAGCAAUGAGAAAUUACAAAAAUGCAUUCCGAAUGAAGAGAAAAUGGUUUCGCAGGGUCAUUAACUGCCUGUGAUACUUUCCAAGGAGAAUCAUCCAAGCCCUAUGCUUGGAACUCUUUAAACUAAGCUGGACAAAAAGCUCAAGAAUUAUGCAUGUAGCAUAUGGCAUAUACUAGAAGUGUGAUGAGAUAUGGCAGGG